rnacentral:rRNA from 1 species
AUUGAACGCUGGCGGCAUGCCUUACACAUGCAAGUCGAACGGCAGCGCGGACUUCGGUCUGGCGGCGAGUGGCGAACGGGUGAGUAAUACAUCGGAACGUACCCUGUUGUGGGGGAUAACUAGUCGAAAGAUUAGCUAAUACCGCAUACGCCCUGAGGGUGAAAGUGGGGGACCGCAAGGCCUCACGCAGCAGGAGCGGCCGAUGUCUGAUUAGCUAGUUGGGGGGGUAAAGGCCCACCAAGGCGACGAUCAGGAGCCGGUCUGAGAGGACGAUCAGCCACACUGGGACUGAGACACGGCCCAGACUCCUACGGGAGGCAGCAGUGGGGAAUUUUGGACAAUGGGGGCAACCCUGAUCCAGCAAUGCCGCGUGUGUGAAGAAGGCCUUCGGGUUGUAAAGCACUUUUGUCCGGAAAGAAAUCGCGCUGGUUAAUACCUGGCGUGGAUGACGGUACCGGAAGAAUAAGCACCGGCUAACUACGUGCCAGCCGCCGCCGUAA